UUUAACGGCCGCGGUAUUUUGACCGUGCAAAGGUAGCGCAAUCACUUGUCUUUUAAAUGAAGACCUGUAUGAAUGGCAUAACGAGGGCUUAACUGUCUCCUUUUUCCAGUCAAUGAAAUUGAUCUCCCCGUGCAGAAGCGAGGAUAUUAACAUAAGACGAGAAGACCCUAUGGAGCUUUAGACACCAGAACAGACCAUGUUAAACACCCCUUAAAUGAAGGACAAAACUAAUUGGCCCCUGUUCUAAUGUCUUUGGUUGGGGCGACCGCGGGGAAACAAAAAACCCCCAUGUGGACCGGGAGCACACUCACUCCUACAACCCAGAGGCACAACUCCAAGUAACAGAACUUCUGACCAACAAGAUCCGGCACAUAGCCGAUCAACGGACCGAGUACCCUAGG
rnacentral:rRNA from 1 species